rnacentral:rRNA from 1 species
UACGUAGGUGGCAAGCGUUAUCCGGAAUUAUUGGGCGUAAAGCGCGCGCAGGCGGUUUCUUAAGUCUGAUGUGAAAGCCCACGGCUCAACCGUGGAGGGUCAUUGGAAACUGGGGAGCUUGAGUGCAGAAGAGAAAAGCGGAAUUCCACGUGUAGCGGUGAAAUGCGUAGAGAUGUGGAGGAACACCAGUGGCGAAGGCGGCUUUUUGGUCUGUAACUGACGCUGAGGCGCGAAAGCGUGGGGAGCAAACAGG